GUGGGUCUCAGGACAGGCUGGUUGUACAUGACAGGCUGUGGGGGCAUCAUGGGAACGCCCCCCAUCUGAUGACUCAUCUGAGGAGGGAGCUGGAUGGAGGACAGGUGUGAGACUGUCAGGCAGCAGCAGUCGGUGCAGGUGGAGGUGGAGGAUGCUGAUCAAACCGAGGCACGUCGUGGAGACGCGGUGGUUCAUGUGCAGAGUCCAUGAAUAACCACAGCAGCGGUACUGAUGCUGUUCUGAUGCUGCUGGAGAACCUCGGUGGUGGAGCGGGCUCAGUCUGUUGUCGUCCGUCUUGUCGUCCAUACGGCUGAGAGAGAUCCCAGUGCUGGAGAGAGAGGACACUGCACUGGACAAGG